AUUGAACGCUGGCGGCAGGCCUAACACAUGCAAGUCGAACGAGUGGCGGAUGGGUGAGUAAUGUCUGGGAAACUGCCUGAUGGAGGGGGAUAACUACUGGAAACGGUAGCUAAUACCGCAUACCAUCAGAUGUGCCCAGAUGGGAUUAGCUUGUGGGUGGGGUAACGGCUCACCUAGGCGACGAUCCCUAGCUGGUCUGAGAGGAUGACCAGCCAAACUGGAACGGAGACACGGUCCAGACGCCUACGGGAGGAAGCAGUGGGGAAUAUUGCACAAUGGGCGCAAGCCUGAUGCAGCGAUGCCGAGUGUAUGAAGAAGGCCUUCGGGUUGUAAAGUACUUUCAGUGGGGAGGCGUUACCCGCAGAAGAAGCACCGGCUAACUCCGUGCCAGCAGCCGCGGUAAUAC
rnacentral:rRNA from 1 species